UGGGGAAUAUUGCGCAAUGGGGGAAACCCUGACGCAGCAACGCCGCGUGAAGGAUGAAGGUUUUCGGAUCGUAAACUUCUUUGAUGGGGGACGAAACAAAUGACGGUACCCCAAAAACAAGCCACGGCUAACUACGUGCCAGCAGCCGCGGUAAUACGUAGGUGGCGAGCGUUGUCCGGAAUUACUGGGUGUAAAGGGCGUGUAGGCGGGAAUGCAAGUCAGAUGUGAAAUGCCGAGGCUUAACCUCGGAGCUGCAUCUGAAACUGUGUUUCUUGAGUGUCGGAGAGGAAAGUGGAAUUCCCAGUGUAGCGGUGAAAUGCGUAGAUAUUGGGAGGAACACCAGUGGCGAAGGCGACUUUCUGGACGAUAACUGACGCUGAGGCGC
rnacentral:rRNA from 1 species